UCUCGGUGAUGAUGGAAUACGAUGACGAGUCCGAUUUCCAUUCUUUCAAAUCGUGACGACAAAUCGAGGCAUUUGUCUGAGAGAA
rfam:Gossypium arboreum cultivar AKA8401 contig_42694_1, whole genome shotgun sequence.